rnacentral:misc_RNA from 1 species
UUUCCGUUGGUGAACCUGCGGAAGGAUCAUUGUCGAAACCUGCCCAGCAGAACGACCCGCGAACUUGUAUAAACAACCGGGGGCGGGGGGCGUUCUCGCCCCGUGCCCCCGAACGGCGGGGAGACACUCGUGCCUUCUUGCCGAACAACGAACCCCGGCGCGGUCUGCGCCAAGGAACUUCAACUAAAGAGUGCCUCCGGGCGCCUCGGAAACGGCGUGCGUGCCGGGGGCGAAUCUUGUGCAAAACCAUAACGACUCUCGGCAACGGAUAUCUCGGCUCUC